rnacentral:snRNA from 1 species
GUCCAUUCCAUGGACAUAUACUAAAAUUGGAACGAUACAGAGAAGAUUAGCAUGGCCCCUGCGCAAGGAU